UACGUAGGGUGCAAGCGUUAAUCGGAAUUACUGGGCGUAAAGCGUGCGCAGGCGGCUUUGCAAGACAGAUGUGAAAUCCCCGGGCUCAACCUGGGAACUGCAUUUGUGACUGCAUCGCUGGAGUGUGGCAGAGGGGGAUGGAAUUCCGCGUGUAGCAGUGAAAUGCGUAGAUAUGCGGAGGAACACCGAUGGCGAAGGCAAUCCCCUGGGCCUGCACUGACGCUCAUGCACGAAAGCGUGGGGAGCAAACAGG
rnacentral:rRNA from 1 species